AAAAAGCAAAUAAACACAACGACCUAAAUUAAGAAACCUAGUCUGAAAUUCCUGCAACCUGGACUUCAUUACCUCUGCCAGAAUUUUUAAGAUCUCCAACAAAUUUGCCAUGCACUAUUUUGAACUCCAUAUACUUCUGUCAAAAACGUUCCUAUUGAAAUUUAAAGGAUUUCCUCAAUAUCCUCUUGGAUCUCCUUGAUACUUUCUUUUUAGCCCUAUCAAAGAGGAUAUCGUCAUUCCAAAAAAAAGAAAAAACAGAUAUGCCCUACACAUUAACUACCUCUUCAAUUUCAAGGUGCUUGAACCCAUGAGGAUUUAAGGAACUUGUAUGGGUUCAAAGGUACUUGAACCCUUACUAGUUCUAGUUGUCUUUGGGAAAUCUCUUUAUUUUCUCUCACAACAUGUGUCAUUUUUAUUUAAUCAUGUCAAUUGUUUCCAAAAUAUUUUAGCUUUUUAAAAUAAUUAUUUCCUUAAUAAACACAUCAUUAACUUUAUUUUGUUUAUAAAUAAAAAAAUCUAUAUAAAAUACUUUCAAUCAAUCAUUACAUGAUCAAUUUGUAGAGUUCACUAUUAAUUAAAUCAACUAAAUCAAUAUGAAAUGAUCAUUUCGCCCUUAGUCCUUAUUUUACACAAUCUUAUUGUAUACCUAAAUCUUUUAGGCUCAUCAUUAACUAUCAUCAAGUUACAAUUAUUUCAAACUUGAAAGUCCAUGGAUAUCACUAAUGACACAUUUGAUGGCUAGAACACUAAAUAAUGAUUUAUGUUAGAAUAACUUUUCUUUCAUAAAACCUACUAUAAAUAAACCUAUCAUUGAUAAACUUAAUGUGUAGAUGUAAGAAUAUUCGAUGCGGAAGUCAUUUUUCUUGAAUUCAACACAUUUUAAGAAAAUUUAAAACAGCAAAAAGUUAGAGUUACAUACCAUUCAAAGAUGAUACAACCAUAACGUGAAUGAGAUCUCUUCGAAAAAUUCUUAAUUCUCUAACUUACUUCUUCUCUGUAUCGAACUAUUAUGUAAAAUAACUUUAAAA
rnacentral:lncRNA from 1 species